rnacentral:rRNA from 1 species
GAUGAACGCUGGCGGCGUGCCUAAUACAUGCAAGUCGAGCGAACGGACGAGAAGCUUGCUUUUCUGAUGUUAGCGGCGGACGGGUGAGUAACACGUGGAUAACCUACCUAUAAGACUGGGAUAACUUCGGGAAACCGGAGCUAAUACCGGAUAAUAUUUUGAACCGCAUGGUUCAAAAGUGAAAGACGGUCUUGCUGUCACUUAUAGAUGGAUCCGCGCUGCAUUAGCUAGUUGGUAAGGUAACGGCUUACCAAGGCAACGAUGCAUAGCCGACCUGAGAGGGUGAUCGGCCACACUGGAGCUGAGACACGGUCCAGACUCCUACGGGAGGCAGCAGUAGGGAAUCUUCCGCAAUGGGCGAAAGCCUGACGGAGCAACGCCGCGUGAGUGAUGAAGGUCUUCGGAUCGUAAAACUCUGUUAUUAGGGAAGAACAUAUGUGUAAGUAACUGUGCACAUCUUGACGGUACCUAAUCAGAAAGCCACGGCUAACUACGCG